GACGAACGCUGGCGGCGUGCCUAAUACAUGCAAGUAGAACGCUGAAGCGAGGAGCUUGCUCUUCUUGGAUGAGUUGCGAACGGGUGAGUAACGCGUAGGUAACCUGCCUUGUAGCGGGGGAUAACUAUUGGAAACGAUAGCUAAUACCGCAUAACAAUGGAUGACACAUGUCAUUUAUUUGAAAGGGGCAAUUGUUCCACUACAAGAUGGACCUGCGUUGUAUUAGCUAGUAGGUGAGGUAAUGGCUCACCUAGGCGACGAUACAUAGCCGACCUGGGAGGGUGAUCGGCCACACUGGGACUGAGACACGGCCCAGACUCCUACGGGAGGCAGCAGUAGGGAAUCUUCGGCAAUGGGGGCAACCCUGACCGAGCAACGCCGCGUGAGUGAAGAAGGUUUUCGGAUCGUAAAGCUCUGUUGUAAGUCAAGAACGGGUGUGAGAGUGGAAAGUUCACACUGUGACGGUAGCUUACCAGAAAGGGACGGCUAACUACGUG
rnacentral:rRNA from 1 species